rnacentral:rRNA from 1 species
AACGAACGCUGGCGGCAUGCCUAACACAUGCAAGUCGAACGAGACCUUCGGGUUUAGUGGCGCACGGGUGCGUAACGCGUGGGAACCUGCCCUUAGGUUCGGAAUAACUCCCCGAAAGGGGUGCUAAUACCGGAUAAUGUCUUCGGACCAAAGAUUUAUCGCCUUUGGAUGGGCCCGCGUUGGAUUAGCUAGUUGGUAGGGUAAAAGCCUACCAAGGCGACGAUCCAUAGCUGGUCUGAGAGGAUGAUCAGCCACACUGGGACUGAGACACGGCCCAGACUCCUACGGGAGGCAGCAGUGGGGAAUAUUGGACAAUGGGCGAAGGCCUGAUCCAGCAAUGCCGCGUGAGUGAUGAAGGCCUUAGGGUUGUAAAGCUCUUUUACCCGGGAUGAUAAUGACGGUACCGGGAGAAUAAGCUCCGGCUAACUCCGUG